GAGAGCUCUUCAAUUGCACAGCAAACUGUAGGACUCAUUAGGACAAACAUUUCUUUUACUGCAUUUCAGCGUAUUUCUGAUAGUGAAGAACUGAAUCACAUAUUAAAGUAUGUCUUUUACUUUUGAUUUCUUUACUUAGGGAGGUUGAGAGGGAAUUUUCCAGGCUCUGAGGAAAUUACAGGCUUGAUUUUUAUUCCUCCUCUCAUUUGUGCUCCAGGCAGAUGUGGGCACAUCUGUGUACCUGAGGCAGGACUCAGAAUUCAGACAUUCACAGAAUGAGAAAUUAAGAAUUUAAAGCCAUCAAAUGGUUGCAAUAAAUGUCACACUUUGGAAAUUGACCUGUGAAAGCCAAACCCAAAACAUUGUGGUACCAGUGCACAAAAGGGUGAGAAAUGCAAAGAGGAGGGCACUUAUGGCCAAAACAGAAAAUGGAAAUGGCACUGAAGAAAUUACAGGUUGUGAGAAAAGGCAGAGUCAGACUGAUGAAGGAACAUCGCACUCGGAGAUAUAGGGCCCAGUCCUGAGAAAGGCACUGGCCACACAUUUUCCAGAAGACGUCUUUGCUGUCCAGAACAGAGACUCUCAACUUUGAGAUUCAUUGGCUUGAGUCAGAGGGAGAGGGGGAACCCCCACAUACUGACUCCAAAAUUUGGGCUUUAGCAGCGCCUGCAUUCUAAUUCCAGCUUUCUCUCCCAGCUCUGCUGAAUGACUUCAGACAAGUUGCUAAUGUUCUCAAAGCCCUGGUUGUCUUACCUGGAUAAUGAGGGUAAUGACAUUGCCUACGUCAGGGUAUUGUUGUGAGGUUUCAGUCAGACAGUUUAUGUAAAACCACAUAAAAGGUGAAGUCUCGAUAAAUGUUUGUGUCAAUAUUAAUAAUAACUAUAUAAUUAUAAUAAUAAAUUAUAUUAUUACAUUUAUAUAA